AGUGAACGCUGGCGGCGUGCCUAAUACAUGCAAGUCGAACGAAGUGGCGCACGGGUGAGUAAUAUAUAGUUAAUCUGCCCUACACAGAGGAACAACAGUUGGAAACGACUGCUAAUACCUCAUAGUGUAGGAUGAGACUAUAUCGUAUCAGCUAGUUGGUAAGGUAAUGGCUUACCAAGGCUAUGACGGGUAACUGGUCUGUGAGGAUGAUCAGGGACAUUUGAACUGGGAAACGGUGCAGACUCCUACGGGAGGGAGCAGUAAGGGAUGUUGCGCAAUGGGGGAAACCAUGACGGAGUACCGCUGGGUGGAGGAUGACACUUUUCGCAGCGUAAACUCCUUUUAUCAGGAAAGCGGUACCUGAUGAAUAAGCACCGGCUAACUCCGUGCCAGCCGCCGCGGUAAUAC
rnacentral:rRNA from 1 species